rfam:Schistosoma margrebowiei strain Zambia genome assembly, scaffold: SMRZ_scaffold0000258
GCACUGCUGAAGAGUCCCGCAAUAGGACGAAACGGCCGUCCAGUGC